ACAUCUCUCUUCGCCUUUUGGCUUUGAUCUUGUGUAGUAACUGUUCUAAUAAAUUUAACAAUUUAUUGGGGGCAUCGCCCCUUCUUGUUAAACUAUUCUUUGCACCUUGAAGUGCUCUGUUGCUUGCAACACCACUUCACGCAUGGUCUUGGCAUUUCACUCACCGCCUCGAACCGUGUACCCCUU
rfam:Fragilariopsis cylindrus CCMP1102 unplaced genomic scaffold FRACYscaffold_90, whole genome shotgun sequence.